GAUGAAGAACGCAGCGAAAUGCGAUACUUGGUGUGAAUUGCAGAAUCCCGUGAACCAUCGAGUCUUUGAACGCAAGUUGCGCCCGAAGCCAUUAGGCCGAGGGCACGCCUGCCUGGGUGUCACACGUCGUUGCCCCCCCAUCUACUCCUUCGGGAUUGCGGGGGGCGGAUGAUGGCCUCCUGUGCGCCUCGUCGCGCGGUUGGCAUAAAUGCCAAGUCCUCGGCGACGCACGCCACGACAAUCGGUGGUUGCGAAACCUCGGUUGCCCGUCGUGUGCGGUCGUCGCGCAUCGAGGGCUCGAAAAAAUUGCCGGGCUCCGGCUCGGCUUUCAACGCGACCCCAGGUCAGGCGGGGUUACCCGCUGAAUUUAAGCAUAUCAAUAAGCGGAGGA
rnacentral:misc_RNA from 1 species